CGUCUUUGCCUGCUCUUGUAGCACAAAUGUGGAGAUGUAGAAUGCACACAGACACCAAAUGGCCUGUCGAGACCAACAGUGUUACUCUCUGUCUUUUAAAGAAAAGGUUAAUCCAUGAACUCACCGCCUCGCGCCGGGCAGAACCGGAGAGACAGGAGAAGAAGCAGGGCAGCCA